UUAAUAUUUUUAGUGUAUCUAACACAUGAAAUAUACAAGGACACAAAAAAAAAAUGGUAAACAAAUUACGUUAUUUGUCAUUUGUAGUGUAGGAAAAAAAGGGGAAAAUACUUAAUAACAAUUCCACCUCACUUAUACGUCAAAGUACAAGGGCACAUCAAAUGCAACUGCAAACUUUCACUAUUUUGUAAGGAGCAAGCAUACUUAUCUAGAGCACUUCAUACUAUCAAUUAAUCCGUACAAUCACCCUCUCAAUCUUCAUCAUCUGAGCUUCCCUCGUUACUACUAUAAUCACUACUGUCAUCACCCUGAUCAAGAAUAUCAAGCUGUACAUGUCGAACCUGUAUUGUCUCAGGUGGCUUAUGCAAUCCCUGAGGAGCACCUGGCUGCAAUUGUUGCUCCACCAUCCUAGGCACAGGAAGAGACUCAAAUGGAGGUAAUGGGUCCCCAGGCUUCCAUCCUGGUGGCGGCGGGGGUAAAUCUGUAGGCAAAACCACCGGCAUCCCAGGUUUCCACCCAGAUGGAACUGUGAUAUUGGGAGGAAGCAGGCUCUGAAUGGCAGCAUAAUUGGCAAGCGGAUUGGUCUCCUCUGGUUGUGGCUGGGGGGGAGGCUCAAUGAUUGCCUCAAUGGUUUUCUCCUUAGUUUCGACCUUUUUAGGCAAUCCCACGUCGAGGUCAGCAAAAGCGUACAACUGAGAAGCUCGCAUUUGCUCUUCUUGUGGAGCAGGAGGAAGUGCCCCACGAAGCGGAGCCUGCCCAGCACCAAAAUCAGGCGGCGCAAAAGUGGUAUAACUUAUCCGGUGAGCAUAAGAUAAAAUAUCCGAUAACUCGAGCUGAGAGGCAACAGUGGUAUUGCUCACACCAUCGUCCUCUAAUGAUUUUGUUUUUGCCCGUUUAGGACGGCGAUAAUCAGAGUAAUCAUCGACGAGGAUAUCAAGGACUCUUUCGGCUUCUUUGAGCUUAUUGGCGAAGUUGAGAAGCGCAGAAUCUUUGGAUUUGAUAUCGCGAGCAAUUCUUUGCUUGGCAUCUUGGAGGUCAAGGAUUUCUUGGAGCUCAGCAACGGCUUCAAAAAGUUGGGUCUGGAGGGAAGUGAAAAGAGAAAGAAUUUCUUUAGUGGAGGAAGGAUUGGAUUCGAGUGGAGGCGGAGGCAUUGAUUGGAUCUGAGAGGAGAGGAAUGUAGGUAGCGAUCCACGAAUGGUGGAUAGCCAAAGGGAUCGAUUGGGGGAGAC
rnacentral:misc_RNA from 1 species